rnacentral:ncRNA from 1 species
CUAUAGUCAAUCUGCAUCUGCAAAUUCAGGUGCCGGGUUUCGCAGCCCGCCGA